GAUGAACGCUAGCGGCAGGCUUAAUACAUGCAAGGCGAGGGGGCAGCAAUGUCACCGUCGUACGGGUGCGUAACGCGUAUGCAACCUACCUUCAACUGGGGGAUAGCCCGGGGAAACCCGGAUUAAUACCGCAUAACACAAUGAGGUCUCAUGGUUUUAUUGUUAAAGAUUUAUUGGUUGAAGAUGGGCAUGCGUUCGAUUAGCUAGUUGGCGGGGUAACGGCCCACCAAGGCGACGAUCGAUAGGGGAGCUGAGAGGUUGAUCCCCCACACGGGCACUGAGAUACGGGCCCGACUCCUACGGGAGGCAGCAGUAGGGAAUAUUGGGCAAUGGAUGCAAGUCUGACCCAGCCAUGCCGCGUGCCGGAUGAAGGCCCUCAGGGUUGUAAACGGCUUUUAUUCGGGAAGAAGAGCACGGAUGCGUCUGUGUGUGACGGUACCGAAUGAAUAAGCACCGGCUAACUCCGUGCCAGCAGCCGCGGUAAUACGGAGGGUGCGAGCGUUGUCCGGAUUUAUUGGGUUUAAAGGGUGCGUAGGUGGCUUUUUAAGUCAGUGGUGAAAUACAGCCGCUCAACGGUUGAGGUGCCAUUGAUACUGAAAAGCUUGAAACAAGUGGAGGCUGCCGGAAUGGAUGGUGUAGCGGUGAAAUGCAUAGAUAUCAUCCAGAACACCGAUUGCGAAGGCAGGUGGCUACGUUUGAUUUGACACUGAGGCACGAAAGCAUGGGGAGCAAACAGGAUUAGAUACCCUGGUAGUCCAUGCCGUAAACGAUGAGGACUCGCUGUUGGUCUGUCAAGGGUCAGCGGCUUAGGGAAACCGUUAAGUCCUCCACCUGGGGAGUACGCCGGCAACGGUG
rnacentral:rRNA from 1 species